CCUACGGGAGGCAGCAGUGGGGAAUAUUGGGCAAUGGAGGAAACUCUGACCCAGCAAUGCCGCGUGAAUGAAGAAGGUCUUCGGAUGGUAAAGUUCUUUAGUCAGGGAAGAAUAAAAUGACGGUACCUAAAGACUAAGCUCCGGCUAACUUCGUGACAGCAGCCGCGGGAAUACGUAGGGAGCAAGCGUCGUUCGGAAUGACUGGGUGUAAGGGGUGCGUAGGCGGUUAUACAAGUUAGAAGUGAAAUACCCAGGGCUUAACUUGGGUGCUGCUUCUAAAACUGUAAGACUUGAGUGCAGAAGAGGUUAGAGGAAUUACUAGUGUAGCGGUGGAAUGCGGAGAUAUUAGGAGGAACACCAGAUGCGAAGGCGGCUAACGGGACUGCAAUUGACGCUGAGGCACGAAAGUGUGGGGAGCAAACAGGAUUAGAUACCCGAGUAGUC
rnacentral:rRNA from 1 species